rnacentral:rRNA from 1 species
GCGAACGCUGGCGGCAGGCCUAACACAUGCAAGUCGAACGAACUCUUCGGUGUUAGUGGCGGACGGGUGAGUAACACGUGGGAACGUGCCGUUUGGUUCGGAAUAACUCAGGGAAACUUGUGCUAAUACCGAAUGUGCCCUUCGUGGGAAAGAUUUAUCGCCAUUAGAGCGGCCCGCGUCUGAUUAGCUAGUUGGUGAGGUAACGACGCACCAAGGCGUCGAUCAGUAGCUGGGCUGAGAGGAUGACCAGCCACACUGAGACUGAGACACGGCCCGGACUCUUACGGGAGGCAGCAGUGGGGAAUCUUGCGCAAUGGGCGAAGGGAUGACGCAGCCAGGCCGCGUGAAUGAUGAAGGUCUUAGGAUUGUAAAAUUCUUUCACCGGGGACGAUAAUGACGGUACCCGAAGAAGAAGCCCCGGCUAACUUCGUG